CCUACGGGAGGCAGCAGUGGGGGAUAUUGGUCAAUGGGCGAGAGCCUGAACCAGCGAAGUCGCGUGAGGGAGUACUGCCCUAUGGGUUGUAAACCUCUUUUGUAGGGGAGCAAAAGCCGGACGUGUCCGGCUGUGAGAGUACCCGAAGAAAAGGCAUCGGCUAACUCCGUGCCAGCAGCGGCGGUAAUACGGAGGAUGCGAGCGUUAUCCGGAUGUAUUGGGUUUAAAGGGUGCGUAGGCGGUCCGUUAAGUCAGCGGUAAAAGUGCGGGGCUCAACCCCGUAGAGCCGUUGAAACUGGCAGACUUGAGUGGGCGAGAAGUACGCGGAAUGCGCGGUGUAGCGGUGAAAUGCAUAGAUAUCGCGCAGAACUCCGAUUGCGAAGGCAGCGUACCGGCGCCAGACUGACGCUGAGGCACGAAAGCGUGGGGAUCGAACAGGAUUAGAUACCCCUGUAGUC
rnacentral:rRNA from 1 species